AUGGACAGCUGGUUAAUUUUUUUGCAAAUAGUUACUAGUAAAAAUUUAUCCAGUAAAACUCCAAUAAAACUUGCAAGCUCAGCUGUCAUUUGUGCUCUCUCAAUUCUCUCUCUUUUGCAAGAGCAAGUUUUUGCGUACG